UUCAGUGCAGCGCGCGUGUUUGUUGAGUUCGAAUCGUGGUUCCAAAAUCUUAGGGAUCGGUACGGUCCGGGCUUAUCAAUCGUGUGUUUUAGGUCGUGUACGAUCGAAAAUGUGAUUUCGGGAUCAUGUGUGAUUGUGGUUAUAUCGAAAUGUAAAGUGAUCUUCUACAAGAAUUCUGAGAAAUAACUAGAAAUCAAAUUCAGCCAACCUUACGUACGAUCGAAAUGUCUUUGGAAUGUCACCAGCGUUUCCGGUUCUGGUUUCUAUCAUGCCGGUUUGUUUCCUGACGACAUGACUCAAGUGGAAUCGCUUAUGUUUAUGACGACAGAGUGUGUCACAUGCCAGAUCUAAACGUAUAAGUCCCAAGACAAGACAAUGAAUGGGAUAUGUGCUGCAGCAAUGGGUGUCUAUUGUCUGUAUUCCUUCGUCGUCAGCGGAAUGCACGAGUGAAUAUAAAUA